rnacentral:rRNA from 1 species
CCUACGGGGGGCAGCAGUGAGGAAUAUUGGUCAAUGGACGAAAGUCUGAACCAGCCAUGCCGCGUGCAGGAAGACGGCUCUAUGAGUUGUAAACUGCUUUUGUACGAGGGUAAACGCAGAUACGCGUAUCUGUCUGAAAGUAUCGUACGAAUAAGGAUCGGCUAACUCCGUGCCAGCAGCCGCGGUAAUACGGAGGAUUCAAGCGUUAUCCGGAUUUAUUGGGUUUAAAGGGUGCGUAGGCGGUCGGAUAAGUUAGAGGUGAAAUCCCGAGGCUCAACUUCGGAAUUGCCUCUGAUACUGUUCGUCUAGAGAGUAGUUGCGGUAGGCGGAAUGUAUGGUGUAGCGGUGAAAUGCUUAGAGAUCAUACAGAACACCGAUUGCGAAGGCAGCUUACCAAGCUACUUCUGACGUUGAGGCACGAAAGCGUGGGGAGCAAACAUGAUUAGAUACCCCUGUAGUC